GAGGGACAGAAUAAAAGUCUGUGGGCAGUUCUGCUCAGCUGUAUGCUAAGGAAGUAGAUCCCAGAGCAUCUCCAUCAUGGCCGGGACACAUCUCCUCUUCAUCCUCCUCACUCUCUGUUCAGGGUCCUGGACACAGUUGAUCCAAGAAGCUUCCAUGUCAGUGUCUAAGGGGCAGAAGGUCACUCUCUCCUGUGCUGGAAAUAGCAACAAUGUUGGAACUUAUUAUGUAGGCUGGUAUCAACAGAUUCUAGGUGCUCCCCCCAAAACUGUAAUGCUUGGAACUACUAGGCCUUCAGGGAUCCCCGAUCGCUUCUCUGGUUCCUAUUCUGGCAACACAGCCACCCUGACCAUCACUGGGUUCCAACUUGAGGAUGAAGCCAAUUAUUACUGUUCAACAUGGGACAAGAGUCUGAAUGCUCACACAGUGCUCCAGGUGCAUGGGGAACUGAGACAAAAACCUGCUCUUGCCCUCAUAAGAGGCUGA